rnacentral:rRNA from 1 species
GGGAGGCUUUGAAGUGUGGACGCCAGUCUGCAUGGAGCCGACCUUGAAAUACCACCCUUUAAUGUUUGAUGUUCUAACGUUGACCCGUAAUCCGGGUUGCGGACAGUGUCUGGUGGGUAGUUUGACUGGGGCGGUCUCCUCCUAAAGAGUAACGGAGGAGCACGAAGGUUGGCUAAUCCUGGUCGGACAUCAGGAGGUUAGUGCAAUGGCAUAAGCCAGCUUGACUGCGAGCGUGACGGCGCGAGCAGGUGCGAAAGCAGGUCAUAGUGAUCCGGUGGUUCUGAAUGGAAGGGCCAUCGCUCAACGGAUAAAAGGUACUCCGGGGAUAACAGGCUGAUACCGCCCAAGAGUUCAUAUCGACGGCGGUGUUUGGCACCUCGAUGUCGGCUCAUCACAUCCUGGGGCUGAAGUAGGUCCCAAGGGUAUGGCUGUUCGCCAUUUAAAGUGGUACGCGAGCUGGGUUUAGAACGUCGUGAGACAGUUCGGUCCCUAUCUGCCGUGGGCGCUGGAGAACUGAGGGGGGCUGCUCCUAGUACGAGAGGACCGGAGUGGACGCAUCACUGGUGUUCGGGUUGUCAUGCCAAUGGCACUGCCCGGUAGCUAAAUGCGGAAGAGAUAAGUGCUGAAAGCAUCUAAGCACGAAACUUGCCCCGAGAUGAGUUCUCCCUGACUCCUUGAG